UUUUAUGGAGAGUUUGAUCCUGGCUCAGGACGAACGCUGGCGGCGUGCCUAACACAUGCAAGUCGAACGGUCCGGUAUCCAACACCGAGCGCUUCAAAGGAAUUUUGAGGAGCCUGCGAGUGCGCGAACGAAGAGAGCGCACCACACUUUUAAAAAGUGCCAACACAGGCGGAGCAAAAUGGGAGUGGAGAAAUCGGUGUUGGGUAUUGGAUAGUGGCGAACGGGUGAGUAACGCGUGGGUAACCUGCCCUUAAGACCGGGACAACAGCUGGAAACGGCUGCUAAUACCGGAUGUAUUGUCUGAGAGGCAUCUCUUGGAGAAGAAAGCUGGCCUCUGAAAAUGCUAGCGCUUAGGGAUGGACCCGCGUCUGAUUAGCUAGUUGGUGGGGUAAAGGCCUACCAAGGCGACGAU
rnacentral:rRNA from 1 species